AAUCCUUGGUGUGGGCUAUUCUGAAUCAACAUCUUGAAAUGCUCUCAUGCUUCGUCAAGGCUUUCUCCUUUUAACAGUUUGAAAAUCGAAAUUUCCCUUCUGAUU
rfam:Gossypium arboreum cultivar AKA8401 contig_8933_5, whole genome shotgun sequence.